UACGUAGGGGGCAAGCGUUGUCCGGAAUCAUUGGGCGUAAAGCGCGUGUAGGCGGCUCGAUAAGUCUGCUGUGAAAGUCCAGGGCUCAACCCUGGAAUGCCGGUGGAAACUGUCGAGCUAGAGUUCGGAAGAGGCGAGUGGAAUUCCUGGUGUAGCGGUGAAAUGCGCAGAUAUCAGGAGGAACACCAAUGGCGAAGGCAGCUCGCUGGGACGGUACUGACGCUGAGACGCGAAAGCGUGGGGAGCAAACAGG
rnacentral:rRNA from 1 species